rnacentral:rRNA from 1 species
GUCCUCUUGUUUUAGUUUGAGGUCAGACCUGCCCAUUGAAUAUAAAAUUUUAACGGCCGCGGUAUUUUGACCGUGCAAAGGUAGCAUAAUCAUUAGUCUUUUAAUAGGAGGCUGGAAUGAAGGGUUUAACGAAUCAUUAACUGUCUCAUUUUUAUUAUUUAGAAUUUAAUUUUUAAGUUAAAAAGCUUAAAUAUUGUUGGAGGACGAGAAGACCCUAUAGAGCUUUAUAUAUUAAAGAUUUACGAUGUUUUGGUUUAUAUUUUAUUGUAUUUCAUUAAUUUAUUUUGUUGGGGUGACAAAAACACGUAAUAAACUUUUUUAUUUUAUUUACAUAAAUACAUGAUUAUUUGAUCCAAUAUUAUUGAUUAUUAGAUUAAGUUACCUUAGGGAUAACAGCGUAAUCUUCUUUAGGAGUUCUUAUUUACAAGAAGGCUUGCGACCUCGAUGUUGGAUUAAGAUUAUUUUUUGGUGUAGUAGCUAAGUUAAUAGGUCUGUUCGACCUUUAAAAUCUUACAUGAUCUGAGUUCAGACCGG